rnacentral:rRNA from 1 species
AUUGAACGCUGGCGGCAUGCUUUACACAUGCAAGUCGAACGGUAACAGGCCGCAAGGUGCUGACGAGUGGCGAACGGGUGAGUAAUGCAUCGGAACGUGCCCAGUCGUGGGGGAUAACGCAGCGAAAGCUGCGCUAAUACCGCAUACGAUCUAUGGAUGAAAGCGGGGGACCGUAAGGCCUCGCGCGAUUGGAGCGGCCGAUGUCAGAUUAGGUAGUUGGUGGGGUAAAGGCUCACCAAGCCAACGAUCUGUAGCUGGCCUGAGAGGACGACCAGCCACACUGGGACUGAGACACGGCCCAGACUCCUACGGGAGGCAGCAGUGGGGAAUUUUGGACAAUGGGCGCAAGCCUGAUCCAGCAAUGCCGCGUGCAGGAAGAAGGCCUUCGGGUUGUAAACUGCUUUUGUACGGAACGAAAAGGCUCUGGUUAAUACCUGGGGCUCAUGACGGUACCGUAAGAAUAAGGGGUUGCUAAACUCGUGCCAGCCGCCGCGGUAAGAC